rnacentral:rRNA from 1 species
UACGUAGGGUGCAAGCGUUGUCCGGAGUCAUUGGGCGUAAAGCGCGCGUAGGUGGUCAUGUAAGUCCGCUGUGAAAGUCAAAGGCUCAACCUUUGAAAGCCGGUGGAUACUGCAUGACUAGAGUACGGAAGAGGCGAGUGGAAUUCCUGGUGUAGCGGUGGAAUGCGCAGAUAUCAGGAGGAACACCAAUAGCGAAGGCAGCUCGCUGGGACGUUACUGACACUGAGGCGCGAAAGCGUGGGGAGCGAACAGG